rnacentral:lncRNA from 1 species
ACGCCUCGCUGUUGGAAACGCUCGAAUUGCUCCCUUUGAUAAUUUUCAUCUUCGGAUCGGAAGAUGAUAUUUCCAAAAUUCUGAUUUCCCGCCAUUGUGAUGAAUGAAGCUUGAAGGGGUGAUUUGGAAAGAAAAUAAAUGUAUUUGAUAGGAGAGAAUGGUUUGUGGUGAAUGAAGGGAGGUUUGGUGGGUAUUUAUAGGAGAAGAAUUUGGAAGUUGGAAAGGAGAAGUGGUUGAAAAGUAAUUAAGUGUGGUUGAAUGGAAAUUAAUAGGGAAAGUAAAAAGUUAAAAGGUGUAACGUUCGUCUCCAACGGCUCCUUAACGUUCACUAGUCUGAAGGGUGUUACGCUCGUCACAGGAGUGUGACGUUCGUAAC